UAGGGAAUCUUCGGCAAUGGACGAAAGUCUGACCGAGCAACGCCGCGUGAGUGAAGAAGGUUUUCGGAUCGUAAAACUCUGUUGUUAGAGAAGAACAAGGACGUUAGUAACUGAACGUCCCCUGACGGUAUCUAACCAGAAAGACACGGCUAACUACGUGCCAGCAGCCGCGGUAAUACGUAGGUGGCAAGCGUUGUCCGGAUUUAUUGGGCGUAAAGCGAGCGCAGGCGGUUUCUUAAGUCUGAUGUGAAAGCCCCCGGCUCAACCGGGGAGGGUCAUUGGAAACUGGGAGACUUGAGUGCAGAAGAGGAGAGUGGAAUUCCAUGUGUAGCGGUGAAAUGCGUAGAUAUAUGGAGGAACACCAGUGGCGAAGGCGGCUCUCUGGUCUGUAACUGACGCUGAGGCUCGAAAGCGUGGGGAGCAAACAGG
rnacentral:rRNA from 1 species